rnacentral:rRNA from 1 species
UCAAUGCUCGCAAGAGUGAACUAGCUAACUGAAAUCACUUCUUGUAAUUUUAAUAAGUUACUCGUGAUGUCGUAAGGGAAAAUAAUGAUACUACCUUACUAAUAGUGUCGUCAAAUACUAGUGCCAGAAGACUCGGUAAUACCAGAGACACAAACGUUAAUCAUAAUAAACAGGCGUAAAGGGUAAGUAGGCGGCUUUAAAAGUAUACUUAAAUAUAGCACAUAUAAAGUAGAUUAAUUAAAGCUAGAAUCAAAAAGGAGUUAAUACAUUCAAUGCCAAUAGAGGAGGAAUAAAAUCCUAAAAUACUAGGUGGAAAUCUAAAGGUGAAAACAUUUAACUAUGUAAUGAUUGACGCUGAGGAACGAAGGUUUGGAGAGGAAAAAGGAUUAGAUACCCCAGUACCCCAAUCAGCGAACGAUGAAUGGUAGUCAUUAGGAUAUUAAGCCUAGAGGCGUAGUUAACAUGUUAACCAUUCCGCCUUGUGAGUAUUAUUGCAAAGUUGAAAACAAAAAAAUUAGUCGG